rnacentral:lncRNA from 1 species
UGAGGGGAUUUAUGUUGACAUAAUACGCAUGGCCCAUCAAAACGAUCAUGUCCAUUUAUCUAUAUUCAGUUAUAAUAUUUGAUUGUUAAGAAAUCAUGUCAAUGUUCCAUACUUUUCCUAAAAUGUCUGAAAACAAGCUUCUUUGUAGUAUGUUGUGCUGUAUUUUUAUUUAUACGUACAUUGAUUAUGGAGUGGUGCAAGAGGAUUGGAU